UUCAUUCAUUUAAUCAAUACUCCGACGCAAAGAGACAGCGUUAAAUGGUCCUCCGGGGGCGGCGGCGGACGCUCUGCCCCCGAGGCAAAAGGGUUUUGGUCAACAAUGGGUUGGGGACGGGGGCGCGGAGGCCCGCCAUCUUUGGUAAUGAUCCCUCCGCAGGUUCACCUACGGAGA
rnacentral:misc_RNA from 1 species